rnacentral:rRNA from 1 species
CUGGCUCAGGAUGAACGCUGGCGGCGUGCCUAACACAUGCAAGUCGAGCGGAGAUAAGUGAAGCCUAGCGAUUCUUAUCUUAGCGGCGGAUGGGUGAGUAACACGUGGGUAACCUGCCCUGUACUGGGGAAUAACAGCUGGAAACGGCUGUUAAUGCCGCAUAUGCGCACGGAGCCGCAUGGCUUUGGGCGGAAAGAUUUAUCGGUACAGGAUGGGCCCGCGCCGGAUUAACUAGUUGGCGGGGUAACGGCCCACCAAGGUGAUGAUCCGUAGCCGACCUGAGAGGGUGACCGGCCACAUUGGGACUGAGACACGGCCCAAACUCCUACGGGAGGCAGCAGUGGGGGAUAUUGCACAAUGGGGGAAACCCUGAUGCAGCGACGCCGCGUGAAGGAUGACGUAUUUCGGUAUGUAAACUUCUAUCAGCGGGGAAGAAGAUGACGGUACCCGACUAAGAAGCCCCGGCUAACUACGUGCCAGCCGCAGC